UUCCUGGAAUCCUCCCCCUGGGACUGUGCUUUCUACCUGACUUACAGCACCUAUCAUUUCUGACUGAGUGCCUGUAUCCACGUGCUUGGUGAAUUCCUGCAGAGGGCAUUCCUUCUACUCAGCCUUCAGAUUUGGCUUCCACCCAUAGCACACAGCAGAUUCUCCACAAUGCUUGUUUUCCAGUUGUGAUAGAGAGGUUGGGCCCCAUAACGAACAGAACCAAUGGUAAGUGUGUAGAAAGAAGACUCUGGAGCUGACAUGGAUCACACCAAGAUGCCUGCAGAAACAGCGUGUCCUAUGAGCAAGACUGUGAAAGCCUCUAUGGCACUUUCCCAAGAUGAACUUCAACAGAAUCCAGUUGUUACUUUUUUCCAGACCUAAAUAUUGUCGUGGUGAAGAUGACACUGAACUCUACAGUUGGUCAAGAGGAUGCUUGAGGCUCUUCAGGCUCAAGACUUGUCAUAUGUACUGUUCAUUUCUGACAUUCUUUUAAAAGCAACCUAUGGCUCCAGUGUUUUGUGCACAUAAAACACACUUGAUGUUACACAUAUUUUUACAGCUUUUCAUAUUCAUAUAUGAUUUUUGACUGAAUGACUUAUAAGA